rnacentral:miRNA from 1 species
GUUGCAAGUUGAUAUCGACAGGUGUGAACAAUGUUGUGCGGCCCACUGUGAACAGUAUUGUCAACAUGUUGUUGCAGCAUUGUUCAACUGUAACAACUUGGAACAACAUGGUUGACAACUUGUUCAUAGUUGGCCGCACAACAUUGUUCACGCCUGUCGAUAUCAACUUGCAAC